rnacentral:rRNA from 1 species
UACGAAGGGGGCUAGCGUUGUUCGGAAUUACUGGGCGUAAAGCGCACGUAGGCGGAUUUGUAAGUCAGGGGUGAAAUCCCGGGGCUCAACCUCGGAACUGCCUUUGAUACUGCAAGUCUCGAGUCCGAUAGAGGUGAGUGGAAUUCCUAGUGUAGAGGUGAAAUUCGUAGAUAUUAGGAAGAACACCAGUGGCGAAGGCGGCUCACUGGAUCGGUACUGACGCUGAGGUGCGAAAGCGUGGGGAGCAACAGGAUUGAAGAUACCCUGGUAG